AUUGAACGCUGGCGGCAUGCUUUACACAUGCAAGUCGAACGGCAGCGCGGUCUUCGGCCUGGCGGCGAGUGGCGAACGGGUGUGUAAUACAUCGGAACGUGCCCCGUAGUGGGGGAUAGCUCGGCGAAAGCCGUAUUAAUACCGCAUACGACCUGAGGGUGAAAGCUGGGGAUCUUCGGACCUCGCGCUAUUGUAGCGGCCGAUGGCAGAUUAGCUAGUUGGUGGGGUAAAGGCCUACCAAGGCGACGAUCUGUAGCUGGUCUGAGAGAACGACAGGCCACACGGGAAGUGAGACACGGCCAAGACUCCUACGGGAGGCAGCAGAGGGGAAUGUUGGACAAUGGGCGAAAGCCUGAUACAGCAAGGCCGAGUGUGUGAUGAAGGCCUUCGGGUUGUAAAGCACUUUUGGCGGGAACGAAAAGGACUGUGCCAAUACCACGGUUCGAUGACGGUACCCGCAGAAUAAGCACCGGCUAACUACGUG
rnacentral:rRNA from 1 species